GCAAACUUGGUCAUUUAGAGGAAGUAAAAGUCGUAACAAGGUUUCCGUAGGUGAACCUGCGGAAGGAUCAUUACUGAGUGUUUAACCUCCAAAAAAGGGGGUUACCUCCCGUCCUUUGUAGGCCCUUUUUUUUAAGGGCUUUUUAAACUUUGCUUCGGCGGGGUUACCCCGCCGGAACACCCUCAAAAAAUUCUGAUUUUUAAAACUGUUCAGUCCGAGAAUAUAUUUAUGAAAUAUAAAAAAACUUUCAACAACGGAUCUCUUGGUUCUGGCAUCGAUGAAGAACGCAGC
rnacentral:misc_RNA from 1 species